AAUAAUUUCGUCGUUCAAUCGUUAAAAAUCGAAGAGCAGCAAGAAAUAAUCACAACAACAAAAUGCGGUGCAGUGGCAGAAUAUGAAUGAAACUCACACAGGAUUUCCCCUAAACAAAGCUCUGCACAACAGCAAAAGUGAUAGAAAAACCAACAAGCGGGCGUGAAGUAUCCCCAGCACCAAAAAUGUCGACCAUUGUGGAACAGGCUGCCACAGCGGCAAUAGCAUCAGAGGCGGCACCCGCAGCAUCGGUGGUGUCAUCCACGCCUACAGCCUCCGCCUCCGCCACCGCCACAGCCACCUCCACAGCAGUGGCAUUAUCCGGCGCCCCUACAGCAGCCACGACGGAAAUUGAACAACUGCAACAGGCAUUAAUCGAGAAACAGUCACAGCUUUACGCCCUGGAAUCCGCCUGUCUGCGGGAGACGGAACGUCAGGUGGAGCUCGAGGACAGCGUGAUAGCGUGGCAGGAUAAAUACGAUCGCCUCUACGAGUCCCACAAGCGCGUCCAGAAGGUGAAUCAGAGUCUCGAGGACAAGAUGCUGAAGCUGGUGGACAGGAAUGCCAACGAACGGGCCCAGCUGACGAGUGACGUGGCCACGCUGAGUGUGCGCCUGGCCCAAGCGAAUUUCAACAUUGCCAAGCUGCAGCGGGAAAUCGAACGCUACAAGGCUGACAUUAGUCUGGCCAUACAGCUGCUGCAAUGCAAACCGGAUAGUUUUGUGGCCCAAAAGGUGUCAUCGCUACCCAUUGAUAUUCAAGCCAAGGUAUCGGCCUAUAUGCGACUGGAGACCAAUUCUCAUUCCGAUUCCGAGUGCAGUAAUAGUGGUGUUGGCGUGGCCACCACAGCUUCCUAUAAAGUGCUUCCGGCCUCCGACUCACCACCGCCAGCUGCCUGCCCCUUUCCGCCCACAGCGAUGGUCUACUCGAUGCGGGGACUUGGUAGGUAUGAAACCAAUGGCAAUGGCAACAAUCCUCAACAGCAAACAACCACAAAUGGCAACGGCAACAGUAACCAAAACAACAACAACAAUGCCACAAAGGACACGCUGAACAACAAUAAUAUUAGCAACAAUAAUCCACACAAGUUCAACAACAAUGCGAAUGGUAAUGGAAAUCACACGACAAGUCAUUCGAUCAGCAAUCCAAAUUCCGAUAUGAUAUCCCCCACGAUAAUGGCCAAAUUCCUGGAGGAUGAACUGAAGGCCAAUGAGGUGAAGCACUGCGACACGUGCGCCUGCAGCAAACAGGAUCUGCAAGUGCUGGCCGAUGUCUCACGUUCCUAUACGGUGGCCACCCAGACGCCCCACCAUCAGCAGUCGCUGCAGCUGCAGCAGGGAGGAGCGUCGACCCUCAAUGAACCGCUGACCCAGCUGUGCCUGCGCUGUCACAGCAAUCUGAACUCUCCCUCGCGCACGAACAGUCCCUAUCUAAUGAAGCUGGUCAAGUCCAGUGAUUCGGUAAUCUCUGAGACAAAGAGCUCCGUCUCGGAUCUGAAUGACAUGGAUAAACUGUUUGUGCCAGCGAAGAAGGAUGAUCUGAUGGUGAAUCCCAUACUGGGGCAUCAUCGACUGUGCGAGCGUACGUCAGCCGUGACGGCCUCCACGAUGAUGUAUCCGACCACACACCUUGGGGCCUAUGCAGCGGAAAAGUAUCUGCUGGAGACGAGCAAUCUCGGCCAGCUGAGGAAUGGCUAUCAGCGGAGGUUCCUCGAUGGCGGUGGCACCGCCUUGCAGUUGCUAACGAAAUUUGAAGGCGGCUCGAGUGCCGCUGCAGCGCAGGAGGAGCUGGAGGAUGAGUCGAGCAAGCCGCUGCUGGCGGGCAUAUCACAGGGAAAUCUACUGGAAACCGAACAACAGCCACUGCCACAGGUGCCACAGGUGCCACAGGUGCCACAGGUGCCACAGGUGCAGGCCAGCAAGCUGGAGGAUGUGUGUGAGCCGCUGCCCCUGAAGACAGUUCCUGUGUCAGCUGCAGGUGUGGCUCCCGCUGCCGCCCACUUGAAGUCCACCAACUCGGGCAGCGUGCAGAGCCUGUGGAGCAACAAGACCAGCAGCUGUGAGGGUGCCAGAAUGUUUGAGACAUUCAAUAGGAAUCUUAUAAAAACCAUCAAGGCGGAGAAUCCCAAAUAUCGUGGACCACGACUGUGCGCCAUGCGCAUCCAACAGAAUGGCCAGAGCAACAUUCUCCUGGACAACUUGGAGUCCAUUGAGGCCUACAAGCCAGUGAUCUACAAGCGACGCGAGCGACUCCUCGAUGAGGAACUCAACGAUGGCAAGGACAUCAUCACGUCCAAGGACAGCAAUGCAGCGUCUGCGGUGGAGGCAUGGCAGGGCCCAACGGCGCCACACGAGCAUGUGGUGCUGCAACCCGUACUAGAACCACUCGUGGAGCCACAGCUAGAGACUGAACAGGAGGAGAGCAGCCAGCCAGCAGCAGGAGAGGCAGCAGCAGGAGCCGCACCAGGAGUCAGCAGUGGCGUGGCCGUACACUCGCCCAAGCACUCGGCAAACUCCAGCUCCAUGAGCGAUGCCAUUGACUACCAGGAGAGUGUGCUGCUGCGACGCCAGCAGCUGAGCCGCGUGGCCGAGUGGGUGCAGCACAACACGCAGCAAUUGGAGCAAAGGAAUCUGCAGCAGCCGCCGCUGCCAAGUGACUCCACGGCGGGCACAGAGCGGCAGUCCUCGUACUCCACGCUGGAUCGCAUGGAUUCCAUUUCGAUUGAGAAGCUGUCUAUGGAUUCGGGCUACAAGACAACGCCCCAGCAGCUGACCAACGGCCCCACGGAGGAUUCCCUCUCCCCCAAGACGGACAUAACAAGCAAUUCCCUGCCUGAGGCAGCCAGUGCACCGACGAUGACCAAGAAGACGGAGCUGUGCACCACAUACUACAGGAGAACCACCAGAUCGGGAUUGCCAGUGGCAUACACCACCACAGCUGCAGCAGCAGCAGCGGCAGCAGCAGCAGCCGCAGCAGCAGCCAAUGGCACUCCUCCUGGCGGGGAUUCGCUGUCCUCUGGCUCCUCGGCGCCACUGAUGUGCCCGGAACAGCCCACGUGUGAUAUACUCAACUAUAAAUACUAUCCCAAUGACACGGACAAGACGCGAUCCGUGCAGGCGGAGCUGCACACGACCACACAGCACGUGGACAUUGCCCAGAUGGAGUACAAUGUGAAGCAGUUCCUGCUGAAGCAGAACGAGUGGUCCAUGCGGGGAGAUGGUGCCACCCAGGGAGGAGGCAAUGUGGUAGCCAUGCCGGGUGGAGGGCGUCUGGUGCGGCACACACGUCUGAUGGGACCAGGAGUGGGGGAGAGAGUGCGCAUGGCCACGCCCGGCGGAGCAGUGGCUGCCCAAACAGGCGCCAUGGCGCCGCACAGAACUGAAACGAAUUUAUAAGUAAAGCGGAUAAAGGGAAGGCAGAAAGAGGAGGAUAAGGAGGAGGAGCAGGGCAUGCCACGUGGGUGCAAUCGACGUAUCCAAAGAGUAAACCAAACUGUAUUCUAGUCUAGUGUUUUUGCUACUUUUACGUUCAUAUUCUACGAUCCAUAUCCAUAAUGUACAUCCAUAUACUCGUAUAUGGGAUCCCAGAUAUAUAGGAUACACACAAUAGAAGGCUAAGCAAUGUGCUAGAUGUGACUUAAGUUGGGACUUAGGAGCAAUGAUUGAUGAUGACACACACUCACCAGACACAGACUACAAUCUAGGAAAUACUCGUAUUGCUUUUCAGCUAUAAGAUUAUCCAGUAAAAGAAAAGAACAACAAAGAACUGUUUUCGGAACAGAGAGCGAGGGAUAGUUGUGGCAUUUGCGGGUAACUAACUAUAAGAAUUUGCAACAUUUAAAGCAAUUUUGUGUAUAAAGAAAUGAUAGCAUGAAGAACUUACUUGAUACUUCAUAGUAUUUCCCAUGCAAUUUCAAUCUGUAAGUUAUUUUUUAGUUAAUUUUUCCAUUGAGUGUAAAUUUCUGUUCAUAUUUCAAACAUUUUACACUGUAAAUUCGUUGUGGUUUCUUUAACGCAUUCUGAACAGAUUCUAUAGGAAAACUUUAAAUAUUUCUUAAUUCUUUUUAUUUACAAUUUCUGACUUCUAAUGUUACUUACAACCCAAUUUCUAUGUGUCUACGUUUCUUGCUAAAACCUUCUUAACAAUUGUAACUUUCUUUCCACUCUUUUUUCCUGUCAAUUUCCCAGGCAAACUUUUCCAAGUCUUCCGUUUCUAUACCCUCUAAAUCACUCUCUUUUCAUCAACUUCCCCAAGUCCUCAAGUCUUCCCUUGAACCCAAAAAUGUCUGCACUUUCGAACACCCAAAACAAUGCCACAACUCUCCUCCCAAGUGUCACAACUGCAGCAGCAGCUAAACCAAAAGCAAAUCUAAGACAUAUGAUGGUUAUUCCUUAUAAAACGGCAAACAAAAAAAAGAUAAGAAAAGAAAAGAAAGAAGAGAAAUCUCAUAACAUUUUAUGUGUCUGAAUGUUAGCCCACAGUUUGAAGCCCAUAAAUGCUUAGGUUAUCAAAGAUCUAUAUAUUAUACACACAAUUAUGGAUAUAUGCUCUAUAUAUAUACGAUAUACGAUUGAUAUUUGAUAAGCGCGUGUUAUAUUUUCUAGAAUUUCGAUUGUGCAAUAUUUUUUAGUAGCGUAAAAAUGAAUUUUUAUUUUUAUAAAAUGCGACCAAAAACACAAAACCAAAACGAGGGGAAACCUGCUAGUUAAUUUUGAGCUUUUAUUUAGGAUUUCUACGGAGCAUUUUCUUCAGGCCUAAAAGCUUCAGCGCUAUAGCAGCUAUCGAGAGAUAUAUACAAAAGAAAAACAAGAAAAAGUACUGUACCUUCUUAGCGAAAACAAAAAACACCAGACAACAACUGUACUCAAUUCCUGCCCAUUAGAUGACCUUCAUAUAGAACCUAUAAUCCUCUGCUAAACUGCUAAAUCAAAGAUAUAUUAUACAGACGGACAGACAUACACACAAGCAAGCAUUAUAAAAACGUAUCCUGAACAGACAUAUGAUUGUAAUAUCCCAUAUAUAUUUACAUACAUGCAUCUCUAUAUAUAUACAUUAUACAUACCAUUAUAUGUCCCAUAUAUACACACACACACACACACAUAUAUAUAUAUAUAUAUAUAUAAUAUAGAAACCAAAUCAUAAUCGUGUAUCCAACCCACAAGAAAAUCAAACACCCAAAACGAAAACAUUCACAAACGGCUUCAAACCAAAAAUCACUCACACACUUUGUCCACUCACCCAAAAGGAAUGCCUCGAUAUAUUAUACUCUAUAUUUAUAUCUGCCUAUAUCUACAUAUGUCGCCGUUUACUUUACUGAGCAAAAUGCUUGAAUGGAAAUGCUUUAAGACGAAUGUUAUGUUUGGCCCAAUUAUAGCGUAAUUUUCAACUACAACUUCUUCUGCCUGUUGAGCACUCGUAUGUAUGAUGAAACGCUGAAAUCAAAACAAAAGCUUUGGCUUAAGUUUAUGAACCAAUCUAAUGAAAGACUUGUUGAUUAAGAAAACCAAAACUGAAAUUGUAAUCACUGCUAUACGUAUCUUUCAUGCUUCAGUCUUGGAAGCUGCAAUCUAUCAGCCUGCACUCUGUGAUCCUGCAAUCUUUAAUCCCCUACCAACCAUAACUCCCUCAAUCUUUGCUCCUUUCAGCUGUGGAACUCCUGUGCUCAACCCAAAAUUAUAUCAACAUUCAAUCAAAACACAAUCCAAUCACACUUACCCACACACAUAUUCCCCGCUCUUCCCUUCCCACACACAAAACUAACUUUAAGUAGAAACAUUCUCCAGCUCAAAAGACAACACACAAAACCAGUGCGUAAGGUAAAGCUGCUUAUAAGAAAAAGCAUUCCCUUAGCUAAACAAUUAAUAUGAAACGAAAGCAAAGACACAAAAAAAUUUGAAAUGCAAUUUCAGCAAAAAAAAAA